rnacentral:rRNA from 1 species
CUCUGUGACUCCUACGGGAGGCAGCAGUGGGAAUAUUGCACAAUGGGCGCAAGCCUGAUGGCAGCCAUGCCGCGUGUGUGAAGAAGGCCUUCGGGUUGUAAAGCACUUUCAGUUGUGAGGAAGGUGGUGUCGUUAAUAGCGGCAUCAUUUGACGUUAGCAACAGAAGAAGCACCGGCUAACUCCGUGCCAGCAGCCGCGGUAAUACGGAGGGUGCGAGCGUUAAUCGGAAUUACUGGGCGUAAAGCGCAUGCAGGUGGUUUGUUAAGUCAGAUGUGAAAGCCCGGGGCUCAACCUCGGAACUGCAUUUGAAACUGGCAGACUAGAGUACUGUAGAGGGGGUAGAAUUUCAGGUGUAGCGGUGAAAUGCGUAGAGAUCUGAAGGAAUACCGGUGGCGAAGGCGGCCCCCUGGACAGAUACUGACACUCAGAUGCGAAAGCGUGGGGAGCAAACAGGAUUAGAUACCCUGGUAG